GGGGGUUUAGCUCAGGAGGUUAGAGCCACUGCUUUGCACGCAGGAGGUCAUCGGUUCGAAUCCGAUAUCCUCCA
rnacentral:tRNA from 2 species